CGAGAAAGCCCGCAAGGGUGAGUAAAGCGGCGCACGGGUGCGUAACACGUGGGUAAUCUGCCCUGGAGUCCGGAAUAACUCGCCGAAAGGCGUGCUAAUGCCGGAUGAGACCACGGGAGCUUCGGCUCCUGCGGGAAAAGGUGGCCUCUGUAUACAAGCUAUCGCUCUAGGAUGAGCCCGCGGCCCAUCAGCUAGUUGGCGGGGUAAUGGCCCACCAAGGCUACGACGGGUAGCUGGUCUGAGAGGACGAUCAGCCACACUGGAACUGAGACACGGUCCAGACUCCUACGGGAGGCAGCAGUGGGGAAUCUUGCGCAAUGGGCGAAAGCCUGACGCAGCAACGCUGCGUGUGUGAUGAAGGUCUUCGGAUCGUAAAGCACUGUCGCGAGGGACG
rnacentral:rRNA from 1 species